GGCAUCUGCCUAUGUGGUGAUUUGGAAUAUCGCUGCAGCUCUCAUCCGUCCACCUGUGGGUGUGUAGCUGCUGCAUUGUCCGUGAGCUGAACCACUGCAGCCUGAAAAAGCUUCUCAGGAUGAACAACACAUGUCCAUGUCCAGAGGAUGAACUACAACAGCUGAAGAAGCAAAGAACACAAGUCACUCACAGGUCACAUGCUCAACAACAAAACCCUCCUCCAGAGCCACCUGAAGUGACUUUGCUGGUCCAUGUUUGUCGAGGCUGUAACCUUCUCACUGCUGCUCGCACAUUUCAUUUUGGGUGAUUGAGCUGCUCUCUUCUGUUGAUAUGAUGAAAGCCCAGAACCUCCCACCUUUCCAGCUGGAUCUUUACACUUCUGCUCCCUGUGUCAUUCAGCGGCAGCACCGGGACAACAUCGACCAGGCCUGACUGUGUGACUCACUUGGACUCAAGGAUGAACUUUGUUCAUCAGAGGUCAAAGGCCAAGGGAACUCACAUUCAUGCUGUGGUGUUCAUGUCUCAAGGCAGCAUUUUCCUUGUAGGAAGAGAAGUGGCAGACUGAAAUGAAAUGAGAGACCGCUGUAUUUCUUCACAUAAUUAUUGGCUCAUGAAGUUACUGAAGUCAAAAAUGAGCUAGGCAGCUUUUCUUUGUUUUAAACUUGCAUUAUUUCAUUUCCGUUGAGUAAAUAAAUUGUUACUACAU